CCGAAGGAUAAUGCUGCGGAUGAUGUUGAGGUCGCGAUGCCGUUGAAGAACUACCAGGAUAAUUUUGUGGUCUCGAUGAACUAGACGUCGAAUGAUGUGGACGGUUUGACGACGGGGAUUGACCAGCCCACGGAUAAGACGACCUUUCGCUGUCUCUCGGAUGAACACAAAUAUCACCUUUGGAGUGGGAAAAUACAGUACCAGGACCGCAUUCAAAUCUAAAAGUCGUCAGUGGACUAGAGCCACCCCAGCUUACGCAUCUGUAGUAAAUAUGACAGUCUCGUGGAUCAGCUUGAUAACCUUCCUCACGGCAUUUGAAAUUAUUUCCCUGUCCAGCAACAUAAUCUCCUAGACAAAAAGAAAUUUUUUCGAUAAAUAAACCAUGAAAAAUGAAAUUAUCGAUUCACUUAAUUUACAUUCGAUGAAAACGUGUAGUGCAGUAUUUAAAUAAACGAGUUUGCGUUAUCCUAUGGGUAAUUGAUAUGAUACGGCUGAGAAAAGUACAUGUAUAUAAAAUAUAUAUGCAUAGCUAAAGCAAUAAGCCAAAGAUAAUAAAUGAUGAGAAUGAAAACGUACAGGGCGCACAUAUAAACGCCACAAGGGCUUUGGCAUCAUCAUCGGCACCGGCAGACUACACACGAGAGCAACAGGAGCAUCAGAUAUUGAAGGCUGUUAAGAUGUCCUCGUGAAACCUGUUUGACGGCAACAGCAUCCGCAGAAAAUAUUUUUCUUAUUCAACUACCCAUCGGCUAAGCGAGGCUAGAAAUAACGCCGUCUUCCAGCACCAAAUCGGCUGCUGUGGCCUCAAGACAAUUGUCUUUUUAUGCUGUCGUCUGUCGUAAAAGGAAAAUAAUAAUUACAUCAGUGCUGGCGCUAAUUUUCAACAUAAAUUGCAAUUAUAUAUAUUUAUAAAUCACGGCUCUGAUAAUAUAAACAGUUUUUCAAAUGGAAAUUCCUGAAUUAAACAUCAAACAGAUGAGAUCAAAUCACAGUGGGACAGUUACUUUAUCGUCCUCGUAGCCGUCCGAGUUGGCUUUUAUCCAAUACUGAAAAUUCCGCAUAAGACACCUACAGCUGUUUAAUUCUGACGUUUAAAAUAACGUUUAUGGAAUUUAAUUGGAUAAAUAAACCCGUAAGGAAGAGCGAUAGUACGCACACGAGUCCUUGGAACGCGUUAUCGGGGAUGAUUGGAUGUAAGGUGACUCGGCGAUAGGCCGGAGUCCGAGUACAGAGCAAAGAUUAAAGAGUACCGAGUUGUGCGCUGUUGGAUUAAGGAAGUCGUCAUACUACUUAACUAGCUCCUUUCUCCUUUACGGCUGUUGCUCCUGCGGUGUGUUACGACUUGUGUGCAAUAUCAGGGUGAGUUCCGCUAUAUACCGAGCCACGGUCAUGAUGACAUAAUGCAGCAGCAAAUUAUGUAAUGCAAGGUCUGCAAAGUCACUGACUCUACUUUCAAAUGACUUUCAAUGUCACCCUUUUAAAGAUAAACUUAUAUAGAUAUAUAUAUAGACUAGCGUGGUUUUAAAUUUAAAUUAUCAACUGAUUCUACGCGUUUUUAUCAGACCACUUGUAUCAAUCUCGCGAUACAAAGUCUUGAUAAAUGAUCCUUGAGAUCCUUAUUUUUGUUUAAUUCUCUCAACUUCCGCCAACAACUAACGGUGUUGUGUCUUAUAUUCAAAAUACUAUAGAAUACGUUAAAUGUCACUGCCCACUUGACAAUAAAUCGUGACUCACUUUUGUCCAAACAGAAUGCCUAUUUAGUUUUUUUUCUUUAGGUCAUGAAUAAAUUAUUUUAUUAAUAAUUAAUGAGGUGACUGAACUCGACUCGCGAUAUUUACUUUUUCACGAAUGCCCAUUUGCUAUUUUUUUUACCGAUAAAAAAAACUAUCAUUCAACACUUUUUUUCGUCAAGUCAUUAUUAAAUUACUUAAAUGACACUGAUUGACUGACAAUUAUUUUUUGCAUGGAAUAAAAACUCGCGGAUAAAAUAUAAAAAAAUAGUUUCCUGUAAGAGUAAAUGAUGGCUAUCGAGAACAUGAUGUACGGUCUUUUUCAGUCACAUAAUUCCUGUGAAAUACUUUUUUUAUUUAUAUAAAUUUUUUAUUUUCUUGCUCUACAAGAGAUAUAGGGGCUGUUAGUGAGUGCGGUUGAAUAAUAAAAUAAAAGCAGCAUAAAAUAAACCAACUCUUCACGAAGUUGUUACCAAUAGCUCGAACUUGAGUUACGAGCAAUGAUGAGGAGCAAGUGAGGUGGUAGUGAACCUGGCUAUUAUUGCAAUAUCUACUAUAUAUAUACAGGUAGACCCCAGUACCGAGUAGAGACAAGAGACUCAGUACGAAUGGAUGAGAGAGCUACAACCUUGACGCGGUUGCUUGCAAGGUCGUCCUCGUGCAUCUAUGUAAGUACAUAAGUACCAAAGUACUUUAUACGUACGGCAUUUGGUCUCUAUUUUUUAUUUAUUUUUUCGUUGACGAGACCCCGAGAUAACGAUAAUGACCACGACUAAGACGACGACGAUCCAAGCGCGGAAGGUCGUACCAAGAUACCUCGACGAUUAUCCACAUUGUACUUUUUUUUUCCUCGUAUUUUUUAUUUCAUUUUAUUUUAACACACACUAUAAAGGUAUUUGUAAUUAAAGGGACAAGCUUAAAUUACUCGUACGUGUCCUCCGAUCUCUCACCUUUUUUUUAUUCUCAACUACCGCUAUUAUCUAUCAUGGCAAAGUUAAAUUAAACAAUUUCCCGGCCUCUACACCAUUAUAACACUAUAUAAAUAAUUAUUAUUAUUUUUUAUUUAUUUAUUUUUUUCCCUACUACAGAUAAAUACAUGCACUGAGAAAAAAUUAACUUGGUGCAAACAAUAUUUUCUUAAGUAGUAAAUUAUUUAAAAUUAUCACAUUAUUAAUUCCACAUUUAAGUU